rnacentral:rRNA from 1 species
GAAUGCUGACAUAAGUAACGAUAAAGCGGGUGAAAAGCCCGCUCGCCGGAAGACCAAGGGUUCCUGUCCAACGUUAAUCGGGGCAGGGUGAGUCGACCCCUAAGGCGAGGCCGAAAGGCGUAGUCGAUGGGAAACGGGUUAAUAUUCCCGUACUUGGUGUUACUGCGAAGGGGGGACGGAGAAGGCUAUGUUGGCCGGGCGACGGUUGUCCCGGUUUAAGCGUGUAGGUGUGUGUUCCAGGUAAAUCCGGUUCACUUUAACACUGAGGCGUGACGACGAGGCACUACGGUGCUGAAGCAACAAAUGCCCUGCUUCCAGGAAAAGCCUCUAAGCAUCAGGUAACAUCAAAUCGUACCCCAAACCGACACAGGUGGUCAGGUAGAGAAUACCAAGGCGCUUGAGAGAACUCGGGUGAAGGAACUAGGCAAAAUGGUGCCGUAACUUCGGGAGAAGGCACGCUGACACGUAGGUGAAGUGAUUUACUCAUGGAGCUGAAGUCAGUCG